rnacentral:rRNA from 1 species
GCACUGGCUAACUCUGUGCCAGCAGCCGCGGUAAUACAGAGAGUGCAAGCGUUAAUCGGAAUCACUGGGCGUAAAGCGCGCGUAGGUGGAUAUUUAAGUCGGAUGUGAAAGCCCUAGGCUUAACCUAGGAACUGCACUCGAUACUGAGUAUCUCGAGUAUGGUAGAGGGAAGUGGAAUUUCCGGUGUAGCGGUGAAAUGCGUAGAUAUCGGAAAGAACACCAGUGGCGAAGGCGGCUUCCUGGACUAAUACUGACACUGAGGUGCGAAAGCGUGGGGAGCAAACAGGAUUAGAGACCCUGGU